rnacentral:rRNA from 1 species
AUGGCUCAGAACGAACGCUGGCGGCGCGUUUAAGCAUGCAAGUCGAGCGGCAAGGGCCUUCGGGCCCCUAGAGCGGCGGACGGGUGAGUAACACGUGGACAAUCUGCCCCCGGCCCGGGAUAGCCCAGGGAAACCUGGAUUAAUACCGGAUGAGACGGGACCCGCGAAGGCGGGACCCGGAAAGGCGCUGCGGCGCCGCCGGGGGAUGAGUCUGCGUCCCAUUAGCUAGACGGCGGGGUAACGGCCCACCGUGGCGACGAUGGGUAGCCGGCCUGAGAGGGUGGACGGCCACAUUGGAACUGAGACACGGUCCAGACUCCUACGGGAGGCAGCAGCUAAGAAUCUUCCGCAAUGGGCGAAAGCCUGACGGAGCGACGCCCGCGUGAACGAAGAAGGCCGUGAGGUUGUAAAGUUCUUUUCGGGAGGGGGAACAACCGUGGCAGGGAAUGGCCGCGGGAUGACGUGAAUCCCGGAAUAAGCCCCGGCUAACUACGUGCCAGCCGCAGC